AAGCCAGACUCCUACGGGAGGCAGCAGUGAGGAAUAUUGGUCAAUGGGCGAGAGCCUGAACCAGCCAAGUCGCGUGAAGGAUGACGGCCCUACGGGUUGUAAACUUCUUUUGUCAGGGAGCAAUUGAGUCCACGUGUGGUCUUAGCGAGAGUACCUGAAGAAAAAGCAUCGGCUAACUCCGUGCCAGCAGCCGCGGUAAUACGGAGGAUGCGAGCGUUAUCCGGAUUUACUGGGUGUAAAGGGCGUGUAGGCGGGCCUGUAAGUCAGAAGUGAAAUCUGGGGGCUUAACCCCCAAACUGCUUUUGAAACUGCGGGUCUUGAGUGAUGGAGAGGCAGGCGGAAUUCCCAGUGUAGCGGUGAAAUGCGUAGAUAUUGGGAGGAACACCAGUGGCGAAGGCGGCCUGCUGGACAUUAACUGACGCUGAGGCGCGAAAGCGUGGGGAGCAAACAGGAUUAGAUACCCCCGUAU
rnacentral:rRNA from 1 species